UACGGAGGAUCCAAGCGUUAUCCGGAUUUAUUGGGUUUAAAGGGUGCGUAGGCGGUUUUAUAAGUUAGAGGUUAAAUGUCAGUGCUUAACAUUGGCCUGCCUCUAAUACUGUAUGACUAGAGAUUAGAUGCGGUAGGCGGAAUGUAUGGUGUAGCGGUGAAAUGCGUAGAGAUCAUACAGAACACCGAUUGCGAAGGCAGCUUACCAAACUAAAUCUGACGUUGAGGCACGAAAGCGUGGGUAGCAAACAUG
rnacentral:rRNA from 1 species